UACAGAGGGGGCAAGCGUUGUUCGGAAUUACUGGGCGUAAAGGGCGCGUAGGCGGCCUUCUAAGUCGAACGUGAAAUCCCUGGGCUCGACCCAGGAACUGCGUCCGAUACUGGCGGGCUUGAAUCCGGGAGAGGGAUGUGGAAUUCCAGGUGUAGCGGUGAAAUGCGUAGAUAUCUGGAGGAACACCGGUGGCGAAGGCGGCAUCCUGGACCGGUAUUGACGCUGAGGCGCGAAAGCUAGGGGAGCAAACGGG
rnacentral:rRNA from 1 species